GCUGGGCACUGUGGUGCCUGCCUGUAAUCCCACCCGCUUGGGAGGCUGAGGCAGGAGGAUCCACGUUCAAAGACAACCUCAGCAACUUAACGAGACCCUGUCUCAA
rnacentral:sRNA from 1 species